rnacentral:rRNA from 1 species
AGAGUUUGAUCCUGGCUCAGAACGAACGUUGGCGGCGUGGAUUAGGCAUGCAAGUCGAACGAGAAAGAGGGAGCAAUCCCUUAAGUAAAGUGGCGAACUGGUGAGUAACAGGUGGGUAAUGUGCCUUAUUGUGGGGGAUAACACUUGGAAACAGGUGCUAAUACCGCAUAUGGCUCAGGCGAUGCGAGUUGCCUGAGUUAAAGGUGCUCAAAAUUUAUUUUGGGUGUCGCAAUAAGAUCAGCCCGCCCCUGAUUAGCCUGUUGGUGGGGUAACGGCCUACCAAAGCUAUGAUCAGUAGCUGGUCUGAGAGGAUGGUCAGCCACACUGGGACUGAGAUACGGCCCAGACUCCUACGGGAGGCAGCAGUCUAGAGGCUUCGGCAAUGGGGGAAACCCUGACCGAGCGACGCCGCGUGCGGGAUUGAAGGCCGUGAGGUCGUAAACCGCUGUCAGCAGGGAAGAAUGCCCGAAUGGUGAAUUUGGGAGAGACGGUACCUGCAGAGGAAGCCCCGGCUAACUCCGUGCCAGCAGCCGCGGUAAUACGGGGGGGGCUGACGUUGUUCGGAAUUACUGGGCGUAAAGGUGCGUAGGCGGUUCGGUAAGUCUAGCGUGAAAUCUCACCGCUCACCGGUGAAACGGCGCUGGAAACUGCCGAGCUCGAGGAUGGAAGAGGUAGGUGGAAUUCCUGGUGUAGCGGUGGAAUGCGUAGAUAUCAGGAAGAACACUCGUGGCGAAGGCGGCCUACUGGUCCAUUUCUGACGCUGAGGCACGAAAGCCAGGGGAGCGAACGGGAUUAGAUACCCCGGUAGUCCUGGCCAUAAACUGUGAACACUAGGUGUCGGGGGUAUCGACCCCCUCGGUGCCGGAGCUAACGCGUUAAGUGUUCCGCCUGGGGAGUACGACCGCAAGGUUGAAACUCAAAGGAAUUGACGGGGGCCCGCACAAGCGGUGGAGUAUGUGGUUUAAUUCGACGCAACGCGAAGAACCUUACCAAGGCUUAAACUGCAGGGUAAACCCUCCGAAAGGAGGGCUGCUUCGGCGAUCCUGUAGAGGUGCUGCAUGGCUGUCGUCAGCUCGUGUCGUGAGAUGUUGGGUUAAGUCCCGCAACGAGCGCAACCCUUGUCCUUAGUUACCAGCGCGUCAUGGCGGGGACUCUAAGGAGACUGCCGUCGUAAGACGGAGGAAGGUGGGGAUGACGUCAAGUCCUCAUGGCCCUUAUGUCUUGGGCUACACACGUACUACAAUGGCCGGUACAACGAGUCGCAAGGCCGCGAGGUCAAGCUAAUCUCUUAAAGCCGGUCCCAGUUCAGAUUGCAGUCUGCAACUCGACUGCAUGAAGGUGGAAUCGCUAGUAAUCGCAGAUCAGCACGCUGCGGUGAAUACGUUCCCGGGCCUUGUACACACCGCCCGUCACAUCACGAAAGUCGGUUGUACCAGAAGUCACCAAGCUAACCGCAAGGAGGCAGGUGCCUAAGGUAUGGUCGGUAAUUGGGAUGAAGUCGUAACAAGGUA